rnacentral:rRNA from 1 species
GUGAGUAACCUGCCCCUGACUCUGGGAUAAGCGUUGGAAACGACGUCUAAUACUGGAUAUGAUCACUGGCCGCAUGGUCUGGUGGUGGAAAGAUUUUUUGGUUGGGGAUGGACUCGCGGCCUAUCAGCUUGUUGGUGAGGUAAUGGCUCACCAAGGCGACGACGGGUAGCCGGCCUGAGAGGGUGACCGGCCACACUGGGACUGAGACACGGCCCAGACUCCUACGGGAGGCAGCAGUGGGGAAUAUUGCACAAUGGGCGAAAGCCUGAUGCAGCAACGCCGCGUGAGGGAUGACGGCCUUCGGGUUGUAAACCUCUUUUAGUAGGGAAGAAGCGAAAGUGACGGUACCUGCAGAAAAAGCACCGGCUAACUACGUGCCAGCAGCCGCGGUAAUACGUAGGGUGCAAGCGUUGUCCGGAAUUAUUGGGCGUAAAGAGCUCGUAGGCGGUUUGUCGCGUCUGCUGUGAAAUCCCGAGGCU